rnacentral:rRNA from 1 species
GUAUAGAAUCUACCUUAUACAGGGGGAUAGCCUUUGGAAACGAAGAUUAAUACCCCAUAGUAUGUAUGAAUGGCAUCGUUUAUACAUUAAAACUGAGGUGGUAUAAGAUGACUAUGCGUCCUAUUAGCUAGUUGGUAUGGUAACGGCAUACCAAGGCAACGAUAGGUAGGGGUCCUGAGAGGGAGAUCCCCCACACUGGUACUGAGACACGGACCAGACUCCUACGGGAGGCAGCAGUGAGGAAUAUUGGACAAUGGUCGGAAGACUGAUCCAGCCAUGCCGCGUGCAGGAAGACUGCCCUAUGGGUUGUAAACUGCUUUUAUACAGGAAGAAUAAGGGGUACGUGUACUCUGAUGACGGUACUGUAAGAAUAAGCACCGGCUAACUCCGUGCCAGCAGCCGCGGUAAUACGGAGGGUGCAAGCGUUAUCCGGAAUCAUUGGGUUUAAAGGGUCCGUAGCGGGUUUAUAAGUCAGUGGUGAAAGUCUGCAGCUUAACUGUAGAAUUGCCAUUGAUACUGUAGAUCUUGAAUCGUUGUGAAGUGGUUAGAAUAUGUAGUGUAGCGGUGAAAUGCUUAGAGAUUACAUAGAAUACCGAUUGCGAAGCAGAUCACUAACAAUGUAUUGACGCUGAUGGACGAAAGCGUAGGUAGCGAACGGGAUUAGAUACCCCGGUAGUCUACGCCGUAAACGAUGGAUACUAGUUGUUUGGUUUUCGGACUGAGUGACUAAGCGAAAGUGAUAAGUAUCCCACCUGGGGAGUACGUUCGCAAGAAUGAAACUCAAAGGAAUUGACGGGGGCCCGCACAAGCGUGGAGCAUGUGGUUUAAUUCGAUGAUACGCGAGGAACCUUACCAGGGCUUAAAUGUAGUCUGACAGCUUUAGAGAUAGAGUUUUCUUCGGACAGAUUACAAGGUGCU